CAGCACUGGCAAGUGACCCACUGGGCUCCUCCUUGACCAACUUGACCUCCUUUGGCACUGCAUCGAGCAGUGCCAAAGCAAAUCCCUCCACAAAGCUGGGAGAGUCAUGCUGUGGGCUACUCCUGCAUGCAGGUGGGUACAUAU
rnacentral:snoRNA from 1 species